rnacentral:rRNA from 1 species
CCCGGCUUUUCUAGAGAGGGCAGUAUCUGUCCCUAAUUCAUUGGCAUAACCUCUAAACAACGGUAGGCGGGGGACACGCCCAGUAAAAAUCAAAGGAUGGCGGGGCCCGCACAAGCGGUGGAGCAUUGUGCUUAUUCGAGGCAACGGGAAGACCUUACCUGGGCUUGAAAUAAACCGGACCGCCUGGUGAAAGCUGUUUCUCUUCGGAGCUGGUAUACAGGUGCUGCAUGGCUGUCGUCAGCUCGUGCCGUGAGGUGUUCGGUUAAGUCCGGCAACGAGCGCAACCCGUGUCAAUAGUUACCAUCAGGUAAAGCUGGGGACUCUAUUGAGACUGCCCGUGUUAAGCGGGAGGAAGGCGCGGAUGACGUCAAGUCAGUAUGGCCCUUACGCCCAGGGCUGCACACGUGCUACAAUGGGGGGUACAAUGAGACGCAAAAUCGCGAGAUGGAGCAAAUCUACAAAACCUCUCUUAGUUCAGUUGUAGUCUGCAACUCGACUACAUGAAGUUGGAAUCGCUAGUAAAGGCGUAUCAGCUACGACGCCUUGAAUACGUUCCCGGGCCUUGUACACACCGCCCGUCACAUCAUGGGAGUUGAUUGCACCCGAAAUCGUUGAUCCAACCCGCAAGGGAGGAAGGCGCCUAAGGUGUGGUCGAUGACUGGGAUGAAGUCGUAACAAGGUAGCCGUAGGGGAACCUGCGGCUGGAUCACCUCCUGUCUAAUCUAGAUGCAUCGCGAGGUGACUGGCUCGAAUCACGGCGCGUACA